rnacentral:rRNA from 1 species
AUGCAUCCGGAGCUGAAGGCCUACCUGGAUGAUUACCAUGCGCGGGCCAUGGCGCGCUAUGACGCCGUGGACAAGCAGUACGGGCUGAUGUUGAAGAUCCUCACGGGCGUCUCGACCCCGCAGCCGGCAUGUCCCAUGGCCACGGCAGCAGAUGACGGCCUCACAGACGACUCUAGUGUCCCUGCGGUCGUCCCCGACACCUCUUCCUCCACCACCAAGGCCGACGAGACCUUCGAGCUCACCCCCGGCGCGUCCCCUGCUUCCAUCGAGAUGGUGCCAGUCACCUGUUCGACGGAAUGUCCGACCGAGGUAGUCACCAUCGCCAGAGUUGACGAGGUCCACGCCGCCACCACAACUGUCCGCCUUGAGCCCGCGGUCGAUCUCAUCCACCAGGAGGUCGUGCCGAUCAUGACGGUUCAUGCAACGCCUGCCAUCGGCACCAGCACCACCAAAGUCCUUCCCCCUGUGGCGACCACCACCGACGUUGACUCCAAGGCCAGUGUGCAAGAGCUCGAUGCACUCACUGUCAACACCACCCCAGUGACGAGUGAGGUGGACCACACCGUCGUCCACAACGUCUCCAGCGACCUUACUGCAUCGACGCUGACAAUGUGUUCGGCGCAAUGCACCUGUCGCCACACAAACCUACGGAGGUAUGUGCUCCACCCAGCAGCGACACCUUCGUGGCUGGUGCUACGACCGCAACCAUGGCCAUCGUUUUGGAGACAUUAUGCAGAUGGAAACGAGAAACGGCCCAUGCCAUGGCCGUCCUUAGCUUGCUCUCGUGAACUGAAUCGGAAGCACGUUGGGCUGCUGUCACAAGUUACAUCUGCGAUGAAUCAUUUUUCUGGUACUCCAGAUUCGCUGAGAAGACCUAGGAAGUAUUUGCAAAUUAUGCACCUGAAACUACUGUUUUCAUCAUUCUCAAGCAAUUGCCAAGCAGUACAGUUAUGGUCAGAGCUACCGACAGUGGAAUUUCAGUUUUGUGCUCAUGAUCCUACUGAUCCAAAAAUCACGAGAGAAACCUGGUGGUGCUUGCUGAAAAUUACUUAUAAGAUCGGUCAAUUGGGUCACCUAUUCAGACCAAGGCAGUGGCGGUCGCUCAAAUAUGAUUCAGUUGCAUGCUAUCUUGAGGAGCCAUCUUCACGUACACAUCACCAACCUCAUGAAGUUUCAGGGUUCAGUGUUGAGCUAGUACCAUUACCAUUCAGCGAUGUGAGUUCUCCUCAAGUUCCUUAUCGUCGGUCGAAUUCCAUGGACGAGUCAUUCUGUUGUUUGUCGGGUGCAAAGCUGCAGUUUGGGCACAAUAAACUACAGAUUAUGAGCAUGUCAGUACAAUGGCACUUUCUGAGCCAAGAGAAAUUAAAGGGGAGUGGUCGUUUUGAUAGUGAAUUCAGACCUGAACAUGUAGUUGAUGUUUCAAAAACAAGAAUUCAGUUUGCCGAGCUAAUCAGCCUGGAGUGUUGCUCCUUCAAGUGUGGACCAAAUUGCAUACCAUUUGUACUCUGGUGGAAAUACAAGUGUCUUCUUCUUUUGGUGGGAGUUCAACACAUGAUUCUAGUUCAUUUGUACUUUUUGCACAAGAUGACCAGUACUGAAGCCUUGGAAAAAGGUGAUUGUCAGCAUCUUAUAUCAACCAAUUGUGUUCCAGCAUAUCUGAAAUCAGAUGAAGUCUGUGUUGCUGCUAUUUGCAAGUUUGAUCAGGGAAAUUCUCAGGAGUGGGUAUUGAUACUUUGUUUCAAUCAGGGACCACUUCUUGUUUGUACAACUCAGGUGCAUUGGAAUCUUUCUGAGACGGGUGCUUACUGGAUCCCCAUGAACAGCGGCUAG